GGUGCAGCAUGCGCGAAAACUUUACAAUGCGAGCAAUCGUGAUAAGGGAACUCCGAGUGCCUGUAAAAUCAGGCUGUCCGCCAGUUUAAAUAACUGGUGAAGAAAGGGCCGGGCAAGACCGGUGCCAGCCGCCGCGGUAAUACCGGCGGCUCGAGUGGUGGCCACUAUUACUGGGCUUAAAGCGUUCGUAGCUGGUCUGUUAAGUCUCUGGGGAAAUCUUCCGGCUUAACCGGAAGGCGUCUCAGGGAUACUGGCAGACUAGGGACCGGAAGAGGUGAGAGGUACUCCAGGGGUAGGAGUGAAAUCCUGUAAUCCUUGGGGGACCACCUGUGGCGAAGGCGUCUCACCAGGACGGCUCCGACAGUGAGGAACGAAAGCUGGGGGAGCAAACCGGAUUAGAUACCCGGGUAGUCCCAGCUGUAAACGAUGCACGUUAGGUGUAUCGAUGACCACGAGUCACCGAGGUGCCGAAGAGAAAUCGUGAAACGUGCCGCCUGGGAAGUACGGUCGCAAGGCUGAAACUUAAAGGAAUUGGCGGGGGAGCAC
rnacentral:rRNA from 1 species